rnacentral:rRNA from 1 species
UACGAAGGGAGCUAGCGUUGUUCGGAAUCACUGGGCGUAAAGCGCACGUAGGCGGACUCUUAAGUCGGUGGUGAAUCUCGGUGAGCUCAACUCCAGAACUGCCUUUGAUACUGAGGAUCUUGAGUUCGGGAGAGGUGAGUGGAACUGCGAGUGUAGAGGUGAAAUUCGUAGAUAUUCGCAAGAACACCAGUGGCGAAGGCGGCUCACUGGCCCGGUACUGACGCUGAGGUGCGAAAGCGUGGGGAGCAAACAGG